rnacentral:misc_RNA from 1 species
UUCUAAGCAACAGCUGGUAAAGAAUAUUGAACUGUGUGGUUGCUUUGAGAAUGCCAAAUAGAUUCUCAUAACUAGUGGAAAAAAAAAGACCUUAUAGAAUAUUAAAAUUGAAAAAGAUGAAGUCCAAAGAAAAGAAUGUGUAAGAGUGAAGAAUAAAGUGAUCAAAUUCUGAUAAAAAUCACAAUAGGAAUGUUUUAAUAACAAAUAAUGAAAUUACUUGAGAAGAUAAUCCAUAGCAGUCCCUUGUGUCUAGAUUUGGGAAAUUAAGGAAAAGGCCAAAAAACUCUCAAAGUUAGUUUAGGCAGCGCUGCAAACAAAUUAUAUUUUAUAGGUUCAGCACUGGGAAUGCCUGCAUGAUCACACCAUCUUAAUCACCUCUCUCAACUUCUUUCAGUGGGUGCCACUUCCACUUUGGUCUUUAUAUUCCUGCACGUCAAUCUCAGCAUCCUCAUAUCUGAGCUGGCAAUUUUUUUUUUAUGUUUCUUUAUUUCUUAAUACUCAUCACAUACCAUACUUGGUGAGAAUAUGGCCUAUCAAAAGUUCCCUUUCAACUUGGUUGGCAUUUUAUCACAAAGACUCUUGACGCAGUCUGUUAUCAAAAGCACAAGGCUACAAGACGCUAAGUGACUAGUACAAAAAUGUCUGCACCACCGUGCAUAUAGAAAAUUGAACUUUGUCCCUUUUAGCAAAGGAAGAAGGUGGG